rnacentral:tRNA from 1 species
GGAGGGAUGUUCCGAAUGGUAAGGAACCGGUCUCGAAAACCGGCGCCCGUAAGGGCUUGCGAGUUCGACUCUCGCUCCCUCCG